AGAAGGAGAGGUUGACUCACUGUUCAAGAUGUGUGUUAGAGCCAACUCAUGUCUGAAGUCUCUCCUUUUCCUUGUAAGGCUUAUUUAUGAAGGUCCCAUUGCCAUACUUAGCAUUUCCAAUGUGAUAAGUGUCACCAUUUACCAUAGAGGCAUUAGGUGAUGACCAUUGUCACGUACAACCCCCAAAGCUUCUUCAAGUCUUCACAGUCAUCUUUUUCCUCAUAUCAUAGCAGCACCAGUGGCCAGCAUUUAGUAGGCUUCCAAAGCAUAUUUAAAUAACAUCAAUGAAACAGUCAGAAAGUAUUUAAUAGGAAAAGGAAUAUACCAUUUUAUUAAAAAUGUGUUUCUUACUCAUGUUAGAAGAAAAUUUUAGGCCUAUUGACUUUUGGAUUGCUUUUCUCCUAUUCCAAAAUAGAUUCGGUUCACAGUUUCUUAAACUAUUUGGCUGAUUUCUGAAGUGGAGAGUGGUCGGAUGUAUGUUGGCAUCACACACAGAGUGCUCUUGCCUUUCUUUGGAGUCAUACCGUGUAUUCUCCUGUAUAGUUCUUCCAGGGAGAAAGUGGAGGGCGACUCUUUGAAAUAUUAAGAGGGAAGGGAUCCAGAAUUUAUAAAUAUCUAAGAAAAGCCAUAAUAAAGCUAGUAAUUCUACUUUUAUGAACUGAAGGCCCAUGUUAUUUAGCACUGUUCUCUACCAGGAAUCAAAAGGAGAACAAAGCUGUAAGGUAGUUAUUGAUUUUUUUUGUGUGUGUGCUUGUAACACGAUUCAAGUUAGCCUAAGAAAAGCAUAAUCUUUUGUUGUCUAAACUUUGAGUAUUGCUUAAACAAUCUAAGGCCAGGAAAUUGCUGCUCAAAGUGUGUAUGGUCUUCUAGUUUGUAUACCUACUCCAUCUAGCAUCAGCUUCUCUUUUUAUAUGUGCCUGAUGCACACAGAGUCCAUCCACCUCUGGGUUGUUUACAAGUUCAGCUUUCUCUUUACACUGGUUCUCUAGUGAGGCUCAUAAUAGUCAGUAAUAUUUACAGAGUCUGAGGCAUUUCUUAGUCUCCUUCCAAAUCUCGGUUUUUGUGCCAGACUUACAGAAGCUCAAGUGUCUGUCGUUGGAGAAGCUGGAAGCUGUCAAAUGCUCAAGAGUACAAGAGGUUCCGUUCUCCUCAGAGAAGUAGAGUUGAUGUGGAAUUUCACCCCCUUCUUGGCAUUUUCUCAUUUUAUGGAAUGCUUAGCGGUGUUCCACUCCAGGGCCGAGGAGCUGUUGGGAGUGUCUAGGCAGAGCUCAGUUACCAGGAGAGUCUUCUGUAGAUGAGAUCACCCAUUUCUACCCGCUCCCUCCAUCUACCAUUGUUUCUGCACAGUCUCCUUCACUCUACGCUGGAGAUCUGGAAAAAAAGAGGGUAGAAGAGACUGCAGCGAUCAAUAGAGGCACUGAAGCUGUCCUUUGAGGUUCACCACUGUUUCCUGCAUUAUUUUUAUAUUUAGCAAAAAAAAAUCCAUUUUGCCUCAUUAUGAGCAUAUUUUCCUUUUGGCUUUCACUUCCGAGGUUAUUUCAAGGGAAUUAUAUCCAGAGAUUAGUCACAUUUACCCACAUCUCACUCAAUAACUAUUAGAGCUAUUAGAUACCCUGAGCCAGGAGGUUGCGUUUUGUCAGUACUAAAUACAGCUUGAAAUGCUGAGAUUUAAUUUGGAGACAAAUCACUACAUUUGAGUGGGUCUUGCC
rnacentral:lncRNA from 1 species